GAUGAACGCUGGCGGCGUGCCUAAUACAUGCAAGUCGAGCGAACGGACGAGAAGCUUGCUUCUCUGAUGUUAGCGGCGGACGGGUGAGUAACACGUUGAUAACCUACCUAUAAGACUGGGAUAACUUCGGGAAACCGGAGCUAAUACCGGAUAAUCUUUUGAACCGCAUGGUUCAAAAGUGAAAGACGGUCUUGCUGUCACUUAUAGAUGGAUCCGCGCUGCAUUAGCUAGUUGGUAAGGUAACGGCUUACCAAGGCAACGAUGCAUAGCCGACCUGAGAGGGGGACAGGCAACACUGGAACUGAGACACGGUCCAGACUCUUACGGGAGGCAGCAGUAGGGAAUCUUCCGCAAUGGGCGAAAGCCUGACGGAGCAACGCAGCGUGAGUGAUGAAGGUUUCCGGAUCUUAAAACUCUGUUAUUAGGGAAGAACAUAUGUGUAAGUAACUGUGCACAUCUUGACGGUACCUAAUCAGAAAGCCACGGCUAACUACGUG
rnacentral:rRNA from 1 species